UGCCAGUCACGGCUGCCGCCGGAGUCUGUCAGCCUCGGAGCGACUUGUGGGGCGAAGCGCCAGGACGAGGCCACCAGGGGGCGCCUGAGACUGAAUGACACUUGGGGAGGGUCCCACCCGAGGCCGGAAGGCAGGAGGUCUGGGGAGCGGCUAGUGCCCUUGAGGAAGGGCCAGAGGCCGGAGGCUGUAGGUGAGUGAGUGAGGGGAGACAUGGCCGCGAGGUCCCGCGGAGGGCGCGACGCGCGGGGGAAAGGCUUCCGGGGGGAGAAGGGGCGCUGGCGGGCACCUGAGAGGAACUGACAGGAGAGAGCUGAUGGGAGGGCAACUGACAGGAGGGGAGAUGACACCAGAGAGGAGCCGGCAGGAGAGGGGCUGACGGGAGAGGGGAGCCGGCAGGAGAGGGCAGGAGAGGGGCUGGCAGGGCAGGGCAGUGCAUCUUCAGGCAGGCCGAAGGCUCUGCCGUGGGGCUUUCGAGGUAGCGGUGCCAAGCACCUCCUGGCCCUGGGAGGGAGCCACGCUGGGAGAGCUUGUGCCACUCAGAGAGAGCCCUGAAGUUUCGCGGUCCCGGCGAAGUAAAUGUGGAAGGCCUGGACUGCAAAGGAAGCGAGAGGAAGAUGGAGAAUGUGCUGAAAGGACUGGGGGUAGGUGGGGUGAGGAUAAAGUGACCGCAGGGUGUGCAGCAGGAGCCGGGGGCUCCGCGGAGUUGGAGGAAACUGUGCGGACACUGAGGUCCCAAAGGCGGCUCUGCAGGAGCUCACGGACAGCCCCACCAUUUCUUCGUCUUCCGCACAGAAGCCCUGACAUCAGGUCACAGCUUCCCCAGUUAGUUCAGAAACCAAUGAAGAAGACGCAGCAAUAAGAGGUUUGGAUAUCACAAUACCAGCCUUGCUACAGAGAAGAAACUAGUUUGGAAGACACGGCUUAGAUGGACGAUCAAGACGGCUAGCUACUUCCACCUCUAAAUCAGACACAUAGACCUCCCAGCCUCUGGCCCAGGGGGACAACUGCAGCUUCCACAGAGCUGUCCCACCAAGCACCAUGCAGCCAGGUGCCAACAAGCAGAUGGAUGCCUGUCAGCCUACUGACCCCAGAAAGUGUACCCAGAGGAGGCUGAGCACGGUCAACCCUGUCUGUUCUCCUAAAUUCACCAAUUCACACUUCCCUGGGAGAGGGAAAAAGGCUGGAAGUUUUUCUCCAGGGACGUCCCUCCACUGUGGAAACACGAAGCAUGGGAAUAAGGGCUCCAGCCUACAUGGACAUCUCAAACUCUGACUCUGGUCAAGCUAAGGGAGGAAAUAGGUUUCGCUUGGAGCAGCAUUUGAGUUUUGAUAUUUUACUGGACUGGACUUUUUAUGAGCAAAACAAUAAUCCUCUUUUUAAAAUUUCUAAGAUAGGGGGGCUUCCCUGGUGGCGCAGUGGUUAAGAAUCCACCUGCCAAUGCAAGGGACACGGGUGCGAGCCCUGGCCCGGGAAGAUCCCACAUGCCGCGGAGCAACUAAGCCCGUGCGCCACGACUUCUGAGCUUGUGCUCUAGAGCCCGCGAGCCACAACUACUGAGCCCACGUGCCACAACUACUGAAGCCUGUCGCCUAGAGCCCAUGCUCCGCAACAAGAGAAGCCACGACAAUGAGAAGCCCGAGCACCGCAACGAAGAGUAGCCCCCGCUCAAUACAACUAGAGAAAGCCCAUGUGCAGCAACGAAGACCCAACACAGCCAAAAAUAAAGAAAGAAAUAAAUUUAUAAAAAAAAAUUUCUAAGAUAGGAAAAACCUAUAAAAUCUAUCUGAGAAUCACAGAUAAGAAUUUCUAGGGAGAGUCAUGAGAAAAAAUAAUGCUUCUCUCCACUUGCACCCUACCAAUUCCUGCUUGUCCAAUAAACAGGACACGGAAGACUCUGAGGUUUUUGGCAUGGACAACUGGGCAUAUGAUAGUGUCAUUUCUAAAGUAGAGAAGAAGGUUUGGGGAAAACUUUCAACUUAGAUUAGGAACAUGUUAAGACAGAGAUGCCCAUUAGACAUUCAAGUGGAUAGGCUGAGUAGACAGGCUGGUAUUCGGGAGAGAAGACAGAACUAGAGAGAGAAACUUGGGAGUCGCCUGUUUUCAGGUGAUGUUUGAAAACAUAAGGUUGGAUGAAAUCAGCUAGGGCGUGAGUGUUCCAAAGAGAAGAAUUUCCAGGAUCAGUCCUAGGGCACCAACCAUUUCCAACCUAGAGGAGGAGGAGUGGCCAGAGAGAGGAGAAAAACUAGAGGAAUGUGGAGUCAGGGAAGCCAGGUGAAGACAUGGUGAUCUGUGCGGAGAUUUUAAAGGGAUUGUAAAAUGAGGUCUGAGAAUUGGUGACUAGGUGUGGCAAGACAAUUUACUGGUGACUGACAAGAGCAAUCUCAGGAGAUGUGAGACGAAAAGCCCAGCAGUAGUUAAAAAGGCGGGGGGGGGUGGGAUUUCCAAUUAAACAUGUCAGACUGAGCACAGGUAUUGACUUCCGUUUCCCACCUAAACCCUACUUACAUAAAGUAAUAAAAGAGACAAAAAUGCAUAGUAGUGAAAGAAUGGGAGAGGAAGCACCAGUAAACGAGGGAGGUCAACAAAAUUGGAGAGGCCAGGAAUGCAAGGAGGAGUACUCACUGCCUUAGCAAGCCAGAGGAAGCUGCAACCCACUGUCGGGGUGAAGCCACUGAGGAAAAAGACCAUUCUUGCCCGUGAGCCCCAGGAAGGUGUGGAAGUUAGAACUGGUGUAAAGUUUGAACAAGAAGCAAUCUGACAAUAGACCCCUUCCCCUACCUGGACAGAAGCCUGCAGCAGUGGAGUCAGAGCAGGUGUGAACUCAGGCACAAGACAUAGCUGAGGACCACUGAAAGCAGGGUGUUGAGUGAAAGUCUCCACUGUUGUGGCAGUUCCACUUCUCCCACUCAGCCGUAUAGCUCCGGGCAAUAGGAGGAUUUCUCUGGAGCAAAUGGCCCUCCCCCCAAAGACCUCCAAACAUUGGCCCCUGGGACCCAGUGGAAAAACAGAGAAGCCUAUCAGCUGGCAGACUGUAUCUGUUGGCACAGAGCUUCCAGCAAGCUCCUCAGAGCCCGAUCAUCAACAUGAGCCAAACAUUUGAGGAAAACCUCUACCACGAAAGGCAACGAAAAAGGAAAUUUUUUUUUUUUUUUUUUUUUUUUUGGCUGCGUUGGGUCUUCGUUGCUGCGCGCAGGCUUUCUCUAGUUGGGGUGAGUGGGGGCUACUCUUCAUUGUGGUGCGGGGGCUUCUCAUUGCGGUGGCUUCUCUUGUUGCAGAGCACGGGCUCUAGGCGCGUGGGCUUCAGUAAUUGCGGCACGUGGACUCAGUAGUUGUGGCACAUGGGCUUAGUUGCUCCGAGGCAUGUGGGAUCUUCCCAGACCAGGGACCGAACCUGUGUCCCCUGCAUUGGCAGGCGGAUUCUUAACUACUGCACCACCAGGGAAGUCCCGAAAAAGGAAAUUUUGAGAAAUGGAGAUGAUUGAAAGUCGUAGAAGAGGACUUUGAUGAAAACAUGUCCUCACAGAGAUAGAUGGUUCUUGUUUCAUGAGUGCAACAUCCUGACAUACUCUUUCCCUCCCUGACUUAUUUUUUUCUGUGCUUAUCACCAGUUAGCAUACCAAAUGUUUUGCGUAAUUAUCUUGUUUAUUGUCUGUCUCCCCCACUAAAAUAUAAGCUCUGUGAGGGCUGAAAUUUGUUUCAUUUGUUGCUAUAUCCCCAGCACCUGGAAUAAUGCCUGGCAUAUGGUAAACAUUCCAAAAGUAUAUACUGAAUAAAUGAAUGAAUUAAUAGGA